GCAGAGCACUCCUACGGGAGGCAGCAGUGGGGAAUCUUCCACAAUGGGCGCAAGCCUGACGGAGCAACACCGCGUGAGUGAAGAAGGGUUUCGGCUCGUAAAGCUCUGUUGUUAAAGAAGAACACGUAUGAGAGUAACUGUUCAUACGUUGACGGUAUUUAACCGGAAAGUCACGGCUAACUACGUGCCAGCAGCCGCGGUAAUACGUAGGUGGCAAGCGUUAUCCGGAUUUAUUGGGCGUAAAGAGAGUGCAGGCGGUUUUCUAAGUCUGAUGUGAAAGCCUUCGGCUUAACCGGAGAAGUGCAUCGGAAACUGGAUAACUUGAGUGCAGAAGAGGGUAGUGGAACUCCAUGUGUAGCGGUGGAAUGCGUAGAUAUAUGGAAGAACACCAGUGGCGAAGGCGGCUACCUGGUCUGCAACUGACGCUGAGACUCGAAAGCAUGGGUAGCGAACAGGAUUAGAUACCCUGGUAG
rnacentral:rRNA from 1 species